ensembl:lncRNA
UCCUUUCUUGUUAGUAUCAUUCACAACUUCUGUAGAAGGUGGGAGUCCAGAAAGCAAAGGGCGGGAUUUUCUCACAUGAUCUUGACCCAUGUUGGGUUUUCUGUCUUCCAUCUCCACCUUUAACAUUUAAUAUACCACAUCUCUCCAAAGGUCAUGCCUAUUCUAGUGUGCUGCACUCAGUGAAGAAGUUGGAGUAAGCGUCAAAAGAGUGAAGGCCAAGCUCUGACUGUGACAGAGAGUUUGAGAUAGACAACUGAUGCUUUGAAAAACACGUGACUUCUCGCUGGGACCUCCAUCUACUGUAAAUAACCAACAACCUGUUCAAGGAUCAAUGUGCCUCUGAGAUGAGGACAACAAGGUAGAAGGGAGUCCACAGAAGGAAACGGGUCUGAGGGCUAACACCAUAACGCUUCCAAUUCUGUCUUCUAGGCAUCACUAACAAAUCUAUAUAGUCCUACCUCCCAGAAGAUGAGUGAAGGUGUUACAGUUAGGAUGAUUGUUGACAUGAGGCUCUCAGAGGUUCUCCACAAAUCUGAAGGACAAGAUUGAGAUUGCCAUUCUUAUGGUCUUUCCAUAGUCUCCCCUUGCAAUCAGAAUGGACCAUCACUAUGGACCUCAUCUAUUAGAUGCAGGUUGUCUAGCAAGCCUCUGGACAGGCAGCAUGGCAGAAAUCAACUCUUUCCAAAAAAAAGGCUGCUGCUGACACAGUGGAUAGAGCACACACAAGCUCCCUGUCUGACUCCUUCAGCUCCUGCAUGUCUCCUUGGCUAACAUUUCAGAGCUUCUGAUUCUUCAGACAUCAGCUUCUUGAUACUGAAGAGAUUGUUCUACCUGAUGAGCCCAGGCCUAGAAGAUGGACUGCAUCCAAGAAGCCUGGUCCAUCUAAGGCCAAGUCACAUCUUUAAGAAAUAUUUGAAAGCAUUUGUGCACAGGAUAAAGGUGCAAGGACCAAAGUCUCCUUAGACUUUCCAGCAUACAGAGGGUCUGACAGACUCAGGUCAAAGGUUACGUCUGAAGCCUAGAUUAUGAAGAAGGCCCCACUCCACAGUAGAAGCCUGUGGCUGAUGCUGUUGCAACCAGGACUAUGAUUGUGAAACUUUUGUCUGUUCAGGAUAGCAGGUUCAGGAAUCUUGUGCCCAGGUAUCCACAGGCCUUUUUUCAUACAUUUCUUGGUAUAAUUUUGCAAGUCCUGACUUUGGACAUGUCGGGUGCUGAUGGUAUCUCACUUGAUAUAUAGUCCAAGAAAGAUUUUUACCCCUUUAAGGGGCUGGAAAUAGACUGGCCUCACAGUUACCAUUAAAACUGAAGUUCUGUCCUUUGUGGUUAUUGGCCCUUUUAAAACUUGUUUGACUGGAAACAAAGCUCAGAGCCUGAUAUUUCCAAGAUUCACCCCUACAAAAUUCAGAAACCCACAGCUCAAAGCAGUACAGAUACCACUCAGAAAUGAAUCCAAGGACAAGGUGUCUGACAUGAGAAUCUUACAGAUUUAUUUAAAGGUCCAGGACUCAGCAACACUACACCUACGUAGAAUCAUUCAGGGAUUCCCCCGUUAGAAUUUGGGAGCUGCCAUUCACAGAAAUGACCCAUGGGAGACUCUUAUUUCCAUAUCAUAGCCUCCAUGACCCAUAGUGCUGUGACUGCCAUGCUCUCUGUCAAACUCCACAGGAGGUCACCAUUAGUAGAAUAACAGUGCAGGGCAGCAGAGCAGUACAGUGGCCCUAGGGUGGUGUCGUGGGUGGUUCCAGAAGAUACUGACAUCACACCACCCUCUACAUCUAGAAUGAAAGGAAGAGGAACACGGGAGGGAGUGUGUGAUUGAAUUCAUGGCCCAAAGCAGCCUAGGUGUCAGCUAUCAGUCUGGAAGAGCACGUCUGCCUCUGUAUGGAGGAUUCAGGUCAGGAAUGUGACCGGAACCAGAUGAAUCAAUUCUCGCAAGAGGAAAGUCCUUUACGUGACAUCUUGCACCACAACAGAAUAGCCACAAGAUAGCUUGUCCUUAUAGGAACUGGCACACCAAGGGCAUAGGGGAAGUCUCUGGAAUAUACAGGAUUGGUUGAGUACCACACAGGAUGGCUGACAAGCUAGCAGAAGAGUAGGACACACACUGAGGUCAAGUGCCAGGUAUCAUGACCUAUGUAGCCACACAGCUGGACUGAAGGGCUUUCUUGCUCUGACUGAAGCAGAACCAAAGCAGGGCCUGCCUCAGCCUCCAUCUGUACCUUGGCUCUAGCUGCUUCUUUCUCUUGCAAGUCACAAGCAUCAUGAAGCAACUGUCUUGGUUCCCGAAACCACAUGGUCUUUGUUCACGUUAAAGACAGGGCAUGCAAGAAUGUAUUCUCCUCCUACCUAUGUGCUGGACUAGGGACAGGAGACCAGAUUCCUAGGCCUGAACUUCUGACCAUUCCCAUAGUGUAUCAGGGAAAUAUUUAACCUUGGAUUUCCUGCUCUUAGAGGCCAAAAUAAACCUGUCAGUCCGGGAGUCUUAUCAAGAAUGAUACUCUGGGAUUCAUCUAAGCCAGGCCUCUUACUCAACCCUUCUGCUGCCUAUUUCCUGGUGCUAAGCAUGGACCUCAAAGUCACCCUAAGCCUGCAUCCUGAGUUCACACCCUGAGAUGCACUUAAGACUGACCUGAGAGCUGCUCAAGAGGACACACACGGGUUACACCACAAAGAAAAGUCUAUCAAAGCUGACAUAGGCCAGGAGUUUGGCCCCUGACUCGACAGUGCUUGUCCAGUGAGUGUUUUACACAUUAUAUGGAACCCCAGGACCAGAGCCAGAGUCACAAAGUCAGGGGCAGUAUAUAGUGUGCAAUUAAUAGCCAAUGGAAUCUUCGGUAGCAAGCUAAGAACCUGCAGAGAAACCUCAAACCCAGCCUGCUGGAUGGUGCCAAGAUCCAGUAAGUAACACUUCCUAAGAGAAAACUCUUCCUGGGAGAAUUGCAGCCCAGUAAAUGGAUGCUCUCACGAUUCUCGGUGAAAUAACUCAUGGACCUUUUUCCUUGUGAACAGGGAACUUCAAAACAUCAUGGGGUGAGGUGAGGUGAGAUCCAGGGAAGAAGGCUGCCCUUUGGCUCAAUCUGAGAAGUUAGGAUGCUUCAUUUGCAGGGGGGAGGAUCUCAGGUGUUGUCCCUAAGUGACAUCAUCAUCCUGGUGAAAUGUCAUGUCACUUGUACUGAGACCAGUAGGCCUGAGUUGUAACUAAUGCCUACACUUUUCAAUUAGGAGAAUUCCUGGAAUUUUUUAAACCUAUUUCAUCCUACAGCCAGCUCUUCUGUCUUGUGGCAGACACCACUGACCCACAUAAAACUACACACGUGAGUGUGCAUGUGGACACACAC